GACGAACGCUGGCGGCGUGCCUAAUACAUGCAAGUCGAGCGGACUUUCAAGAAGCUUGCUUUUUGAAAGUUAGCGGCGGACGGGUGAGUAACACGUGGGCAACCUGCCUGCAAGACGGGGAUAACUCCGGGAAACCGGGGCUAAUACCGGAUAAUAUCUUCCUUCGCAUGAAGGAAGGUUGAAAGGCGGCGCAAGCUGCCGCUUGCAGAUGGGCCCGCGGCGCAUUAGCUAGUUGGUGAGGUAACGGCUCACCAAGGCGACGAUGCGUAGCCGACCUGAGAGGGUGAUCGGCCACACUGGGACUGAGACACGGCCCAGACUCCUACGGGAGGCAGCAGUAGGGAAUCUUCCGCAAUGGACGAAAGUCUGACGGAGCAACGCCGCGUGAGCGAAGAAGGUCUUCGGAUCGUAAAGCUCGGUUGUCAGGGAAGAACAAGUACCGUUCGAACAGGGCGGUACCUUGACGGUACCUGACCAGAAAGCCGCGGCUAACUACGUG
rnacentral:rRNA from 1 species